rnacentral:rRNA from 1 species
UACGUAGGGGGCGAGCGUUGUCCGGAUUUAUUGGGCGUAAAGAGCUCGUAGGCGGUUGGGUAAGUCGGGUGUGAAAACUCAGGGCUCAACUCUGAGACGCCACUCGAUACUGCCCUGACUCGAGUCCGGUAGGGGAGCGUGGAAUUCCCGGUGUAGCGGUGAAAUGCGCAGAUAUCGGGAGGAACACCGGUGGCGAAGGCGGUUCUCUGGGCCUUACCUGACGCUGAGGAGCGAAAGCGUGGGGAGCGAACAGG